GUGAAUCAUCAAAUCUUUGAACGCAAAUUGCACUCUCUUCGGUUAAUAUGCCUGUUUGAGGGUCAGUAUUAAUAAAAAUCGGUGUGUUACUUCUUUGUGACGCUCCGGUGUUUGGGUCAUCGUAAUAUCCUUUAGGUUUUAAGAGUCUUAAACUUGACUUUUUUUGCGCAGUUUAGAUGUACAUAAAUGCUUUUUUUUAUUCGUCUGUCUUAAUGCUCAAAAUCCUAUUAGAUGCGACCAUAUCGUGGGGUUUCGGGUCUA
rnacentral:misc_RNA from 1 species